UACGUAGGGUGCGAGCGUUAAUCGGAAUUACUGGGCGUAAAGCGUGCGCAGGCGGUUUUGUAAGCCAGAUGUGAAAGCCCCGGGCUUAACCUGGGAAUGGCAUUUGGGACUGCAAGGCUUGAGGGCGAGAGAGGAGGGUGGAAUUCCGUGGUGUAGCGGUGAAAUGCGUAGAGAUCAGGAGGAACACCCGUGGCGAAGGCGGCCCUCUGGCUCGACCCUGACGCUGAGGAGCGAAAGCGUGGGGAGCGAACAGG
rnacentral:rRNA from 1 species